UUAUCGACCUGGCAGGAGAGCUCUCAGACCAAGAAGGGGGUUUUUCCAAGGUGAGCCUCAUCCCUUGCCCUCUGGCUGUGCCGACCCCUGUGCUUUCCCUAAAUGCGGGCAACUCGAAGGCAUCACUGUGCUGUGGACGUGCGGGGAUGGCAUCCCUGUUGCUCCCCA
rnacentral:snRNA from 9 species